GACAGACAUAGCUUAGCCAGACUUCAUGUCCUGGUGCUGGUACAUGCAGUCCAUGCGCCCCUGACCUAAUUACUUGGCUCUCCUCCUCCUUAGGCACGGGCCACUGUUCAGCCAGUGGCUGCUGUGGCCUGUCCCCAACAGUGGGGCUGCUCUGCUGUCACCACGGGAUCCAAGCGCUCCCUGCGACUUCCAACUCCCAUCUUACUGUCAGGUCUGAUUCAGCUGGCUCACAGCUGUCAAAGCCAUGUGGCAUAGCUUCCCCCACAUAAAUCUGUUUUAAAACAGAAACCCUCUAGGCAAAUGAGCAAGCGUGUGCUUCUGAGGCUGUCAUUAAACCAGAGCUCUUGUAACUUUACUUAUGAAAUCAGACAGGCAAUGACUGGAACAAACGACUUGGCCCCGGCAGCUUCAUGGUAGCAGGAAGAUUACCACGCCCUCCUCGGAGCCUGGGGUGGCUGGCGAAUACCUGCACUGUGCGAGCCAUUGGUCCUGCAUUCCACACAAGGUUUGCUCUCCGGGAUGGGCAGAGACGCUGCGCUCCUGAAUGAAGACAAACGGUUCCUUUCACACCAAGUUACCCGUAACUUCAGACCUCCCCACCUGCCAGUGUAGCUAGUCUCUGCGGCAGGGCUCCAGUUUGAACUGUAGGAAGCCAACAGAAAAACUCUUAAUUCUGCUUUUAGAAAGCUGUCUGAAGGUAGUUCUUAUUAACAGCCUUUCCAACCACAUCACCUCAAACCUAACAUUUUACAAAAACCAACAACGAAAGCCAACCCUGUCUUCCCAGAGUGUCCUGAUGGCAUUCCGCCCCUGCAGAGACAACCUUGUUCUACAUCGACAGGUCCAUCUGAGAGAGCUGCACAAUGAACCCACAGUGAUCCGUGUGAGAGGGCAAGAAGCUUCCAUUUGCCGUUUGCCGAGUCCCCGACGUCCUCUGAGGCUCAUCACCUGACUGAGAAUGCAGACACAAAGCCUGACAGGCCUGGACUCUCCUCAGGUGUCUUCUGCCUUAAGGAAAUACUUUCUACCAUCUUUGACUCCAAAGCAAGCCAUGUUAUACAAUAAACUGAAGCUUGAAAAUUUAAAAUGCUAAGUAUGUACAUACAUUGGCUACUAAAGUCGAAAUCACCAACUAACCCAGGAACCUCGCAGGACUGGGAACUUCUGCUGUCAGUCAUGCGAACAUGAAAACUCAGAAGAGAAAACCUACUCGCUGUGUUUCAGACUCUAAGUCAGCCCCCACAAAACGCCCCUUCCCAAUUUUACCACCCUGAGCAGUAUUGUGGAUUUCCGAAGUGUCAUGCUUUCAAAAUCAAAUUACAACACACUUUGUCUAAUGGCCAUGCUCCUCCCAGAAAGUCUUCCACAGUCAACGAUUUACCUACUAACAUCCAAGUUCCGUCUGCGUCAAACAUGUCAGCCGUGACUAUAGUACGUGCUCUCUUCCUCUGCUAGGUUUUACAUUUCUUUACAAUUUGCAUCUUUUUAAUAUCCCAUAACCAAAACUGGGCCUGCUACUCAGUGGCGUAGUUAACUGUUUCCAGUUCUGUUUGAGGUUCUUUUGAUGUCUUGCCACGCUAGAAAUCACGAGUGAACCCAGGGCUCUGCACAUGUGUGGGUGGCAAGCACUUUAGCACUCAGCCAUAUCCCAGCCAAGACCAAGCUUUUUCAAAGAAUCCAAAGAGCCAGAGAUCCAGCUCAGAGGUGGAGGACCUGCUUAACUCGCACAAGGUCCCUCAGGGCUAGGGGGACUAAAUGGGUGGGUGGGUGGAUAGCUCAUCACCUGUGUAUGACACUAACAUUACUGACUCACCUGCAGCUUGUGGUCACCCAGGCCCCGCCCCCCACUUUACACCUAGUUUGUCCUUUCCCAACUGGUAUUUAUACGAUUGUCUUCAUCCGCACACCACCUUGUGCUUCAUUCAUUAAAUUUGAUCCACUUGCCAUAACACUUUAACUUACAGCAGCAAUUAUAACGCAAUUCAUAUCUGUCAUUUAUGCCUUGAAAUGCUAAGAAUAUUAAAGUCCAUAUGAUCAAUACUACACGGCAAGAGGGAUUUGAGACGUGACACUACGGGACAUCCCCCAUUGAAACCUACCUCCACUGGACGGUCGUCCUUCACCAGAGCUACACGAGCUCUUUGCAAGGACCCAUUCAUAAGCUUAUGAAGUCGUAAAAUUAACUUUCUUAGCCCCAUUUGCUUCAGUGCUUUGUCCACGAAUGGUCUAUAGAUAGAAGUCAAACAAUGCCUGCUGGCUUCAGGGCCACAGUCCGCUGUCCCCCAGCCUAUGGAAUCUUCCUCUGACUCGAGCCUCUCCAGCUUCCUGGAGACGCAGCCCUGGGAGCGACUGUCCAAGAUGGCGUCUGUGGACAGCCUGAGCUCUGGCACCCUCGGACUGGGGGUUGGCUCCUCGUCACUCUCCUCCGUCCCGCUCUCCAGCUCCCUCAGCUCAACCUCCGUGUCCUCGACCUCGUCCUCUGGCUCGUAGCCCUUGGACGGCCGAGGGGAGGGGAUUUCAAACACUGGCCAGCCAAUGUCUGAUAGGUUCUUGAUGCCCAGCACGGUGCCCAUGAUCCGCAGCUUCUGAUUUAGAUCUUUCGUGAUGUUGAGCCACAGGCAGAGCGCCUGCACUCUGUCC